AACAGCUCACUAGUCGAAUGACUCUGCGCCGAUAAUUUACCGGGGCUAAGCAUGACACCGAAGCUAUGGACAGGAAUGUGGUAGGGGAGCAUUGCAUGCAGCGGAGAAGCAUGACCGGGAGGGCAUGUGGAGCGCAUGGAAGAGAGAAUGCCGGCGUGAGUAGCGGCACGUGGGUGAGAAUCCCACGCACCGAUGGCCCAAGGUCUCCAGAGGAAGGCUCGUCCUCUCUGGGAUAGUCGGGACCUAAGGCGAGGCCGAAAGGCGUAGCCGAUGGACGACGGGUGGAUAUUCCCGUACCCGAUGUGUGGCGAUGGAGUGACGGAGAAGGCUCAGGCAACCAGCUGCUGGAAUAGCUGGGGCAAGCGAGAUACCUGCGCACCAGGGAAAUCCGGUGCGCAUAAGGGGAAGGCGCGAUGCAUACGGAAAGCUUCGGCAAGUACGGAAAAGCUGAGAGCAGGCUUCCAGGAAAAGCUUCUAGCACAACACACAUCGGCCCGUACCGAAAAUGGACACACAUGGGCAAGGAGAGAAUCCUGAGGUGAGCGAGAGAACUAUAGCUAAGGAACUCUGCAAAAUGACCCCGUAACUUAGGGAGAAGGGGUGCUCCAGAAAUGGAGCCGCAGUAAAACGGCCCAAGCGACUGUUUACCAAAAACACAGCUCUCUGCGAAGGCGCAAGCCGAAGUAUAGGGGGUGACGCCUGCCCGGUGCUGGAAGGUCAAGGGGAGCUGUCAGCGCAAGCGAAGCAGCGAGCCGAAGCCCCAGUAAACGGCGGCCGUAACUAUAACGGUCCUAAGGUAGCGAAAUUCCUUGUCGGGUAAGUUCCGACCCGCACGAAUGGCGUAACGACUUGUGAGCUGUCUCAACAGGAGGCCCGGUGAAAUUGAAGUAUGUGUGAAGAUGCACAUUACCCGCGACUGGACGGAAAGACCCCGUAGAGCUUUACUGUAACCUGACAUUGGAUCUUGAUAACGGAUGCACAGGAUAGGUGGGACGCAGAGAGACGAGGACUUCGGUUUUCGUGGAGCGGCCGUUGGGAUACCACUCUUCUGUUAUUGAGAUUCUAACCUCAAGCCGUAAGCCGGAUGAGAGACAGUGUCAGGCGGACAGUUUGACUGGGGCGGUCGCCUCCGAAAGAGUAACGGAGGCGCCCAAAGGUACCCUCAGAAUGGAUGGAAACCAUUCGAAGAGAGCAAAGUCAGAAGGGUGCUUGACUGCGAGACCAACAAGUCGAGCAGGUACGAAAGUAGGGCUUAGUGAUCCGGCGGUAAGAGAGUGGAAUUGCCGUCGCUCAACGGAUAAAAGCUACCUCGGGGAUAACAGGCUGAUCUCCCCCAAGAGUCCACAUCGACGGGGAGGUUUGGCACCUCGAUGUCGGCUCAUCGCAUCCUGGGGCUGAAUUCGGUCCCAAGGGUUUGGCUGUUCGCCAAUUAAAGCGGCACGCGAGCUGGGUUCAGAACGUCGUGAGACAGUUCGGUCCCUAUCCAUCGUGGGCGAAGGACACAUGAGAGGAGCUGCUCCUAGUACGAGAGGACCGGAGUGGACGCAUCACUGGUGCAACUGUUGUCGUGCCAACGGCACAGCAGGGAAGCGAAAUGCGGAUGGGAUAAACGCUGAAGGCAUCUAAGCGUGAAGCCCACCUCAAGAAUAAGUGUCCCAUUCGAAAGAAGUAAGACCCCUGGAGGACUACCAGGUGAUAGGUCAUCGGUGAAAGAGUGGUAACAUUUGGAGCUUGGUGAUACUAAUCGGUCGAGGACUUGAUCU
rnacentral:rRNA from 1 species